GCUAUGUUGUCGCGUCGCGAAUCGGUUCCCUUCCAGAUGGAGUUGUUUUAUUUAUCAAUAAUUGUGGUGUGUCUGUUUCUUCACUUUACGGCCAAGAUUUUCAAGUGCGUGGGCAAUGAUCUGAAUUUCUUUUUUGGUUUGUUAAUAUACCUAUUCAAAAUGUCAUUUAAAAUAUUUAAAUCACUAUUCAACCUAUUACGCUCAGUCAGAAAUGCAAAUUAAAAUUCAACGUGUCAAACACAAUAAAAAUAGUGAAACAUAUAGGAAUAAUUCAAAUUGGAAAACAAAUUAAUUACCCUCUUUAGUGCAAUAAAGUUAAGGAGUUGUCUUUAAAGCUCUAUCAAUGACUUAAGAUGCCCAGCUUGAACAGAGGUUUUCUGGAGGAUAACAUGACUAAUCUGGAUCUAUUCAGCACGUCUUCGAAGUCAAGCGUAAGCAUUCUUUAUGGGGUCUGGCCAGCCUUCAUCUGCAUGUAACAAACAUAACAUAAAAAUUCUUUACAUUGUAUUCUGAUUAUCAAUCAACAACAAAAAAGACAGAAAUUAAAUAAUUCAAAAAUAA